rnacentral:tRNA from 1 species
ACCAAUGUGGUGUAGUGGUUUGGGUGUUGGACUACAACUCUGUAGGCCAGGGUUCGAUUCCCAGCUCAGCUA